UGCCAAUUCUGUAGCUUUAUUUACCGAAUA
rnacentral:piRNA from 1 species